AUAAUACUACCUUCGUCCCGAAUUACUUUUCACAUAAAUGGAUAUAUCUAGACGAUUUUUUAGUUCUAGAUACAUCCAUUUUUGUGACAAGUAAUUAGGAGCGGAGGGAGUACUAC
rnacentral:pre_miRNA from 1 species